rnacentral:rRNA from 1 species
GACGAACGCUGGCGGCGUGCUUAACACAUGCAAGUCGAACGGAAAGGCCCUGCUUUUGUGGGGUGCUCGAGUGGCGAACGGGUGAGUAACACGUGAGUAACCUGCCCUUGACUUUGGGAUAACUUCAGGAAACUGGGGCUAAUACCUGAUAGGAGCUCCUGCUGCAUGGUGGGGGUUGGAAAGUUUCGGCGGUUGGGGAUGGACUCGCGGCUUAUCAGCUUGUUGGUGGGGUAGUGGCUUACCAAGGCUUUGACGGGUAGCCGGCCUGAGAGGGUGACCGGCCACAUUGGGACUGAGAUACGGCCCAGACUCCUACGGGAGGCAGCAGUGGGGAAUAUUGCACAAUGGGCGGAAGCCUGAUGCAGCAACGCCGCGUGCGGGAUGACGGCCUUCGGGUUGUAAACCGCUUUCGCCUGUGACGAAGCGUGAGUGACGGUAAUGGGUAAAGAAGCACCGGCUAACUACGU